rnacentral:rRNA from 1 species
GACGAACGCUGGCGGCGUGCUUAACACAUGCAAGUCGAACGGAAAGGCCAGUGCUUGCACUGGUGCUCGAGUGGCGAACGGGUGAGUAACACGUGGGUGAUCUGCCUUGCACUCUGGGAUAAGCUUGGGAAACUGGGUCUAAUACCGGAUAGGAACCGUCUUUAGUGUGGUGGUUGGAAAGUUUUUUCGGUGCAAGAUGAGCUCGCGGCCUAUCAGCUUGUUGGUGGGGUAAUGGCCUACCAAAGCGUCGACGGGUAGCCGGCCGGAGAGGGUGUACGGCCACAUUGGGACUGAGAUACGGCCCAGACUCCUACGGGAGGCAGCAGGGGGGAAUAUUGCACAAUGGGCGGAAGCCUGGUGCAGGGACGCCGCGUGGGGGAUGACCGCCUUCGGGUUGUAAACUCCUUUCGACAGGGACGAAGCGUUAUGUGACGGUACCUGUAAAAGAAGCACCGGCUAACUACGUG